rnacentral:snRNA from 1 species
AGCUUUGCACAGAGGAGAUAACGUGAUCAAUGAGGCUCUGCCGAGGUGCGUUUAUUGCUGGUUGG